GCUAACGCGUGGGCGGCGGCCGGGGUAAUUGGGGGGGUGCAAGGGUGGUUCGGAAUUACUGGGCGGAAAGGGCGCGUAUGCGGCCUUCUAAGUCGUGCGUGAAAUCCCCCGGCUCAACCGGGGAACUGCGUUCGAUACUGGAAGGCUUGAAUCCGGGAGAGGGAUGUGGAAUUCCAGGUGUAGCGGUGAAAUGCGUAGAUAUCUGGAGGAACACCGGUGGCGAAGGCGGCAUCCUGGACCGGCAUUGACGCUGAGGCGCGAAAGCUAGGGGAGCAAACGGGAUUAGAUACCCCAGUAGUC
rnacentral:rRNA from 1 species